UACGGAGGGUGCAAGCGUUAUCCGGAAUCACUGGGUUUAAAGGGUGCGUAGGCGGUUGCGUAAGUCAGUUGUGAAAUUCCCCGGCUUAACCGGUGGGAGUGCGAUUGAUACUGCGUAACUUGAAUAGGGUUGAGGUAGGCGGAAUGCGACAUGUAGCGGUGAAAUGCAUAGAUAUGUCGUAGAACACCGAUUGCGAAGGCAGCUUGCUGGACCUUUAUUGACGCUGAGGCACGAAAGCGUGGGGAGCAAACAGGAUUAGAUACCCUGGUAGUCCACGCCCUAAACGAUGUUUACUUGCUGUUUCGACCUUGAGUUGGAGUGGCGAAGCGAAAGCGAUAAGUAAACCACCUGGGGAGUACGCCGGCAACGGUGAA
rnacentral:rRNA from 1 species